rnacentral:rRNA from 1 species
CAGUCGAGCGGACAGAUGGGAGCUUGCUCCCUGAUGUUAGCGGCGGACGGGUGAGUAACACGUGGGUAACCUGCCUGUAAGACUGGGAUAACUCCGGGAAACCGGGGCUAAUACCGGAUGGUUGUUUGAACCGCAUGGUUCAAACAUAAAAGGUGGCUUCGGCUACCACUUACAGAUGGACCCGCGGCGCAUUAGCUAGUUGGUGAGGUAACGGCUCACCAAGGCAACGAUGCGUAGCCGACCUGAGAGGGUGAUCGGCCACACUGGGACUGAGACACGGCCCAGACUCCUACGGGAGGCAGCAGUAGGGAAUCUUCCGCAAUGGACGAAAGUCUGACGGAGCAACGCCGCGUGAGUGAUGAAGGUUUUCGGAUCGUAAAGCUCUGUUGUUAGGGAAGAACAAGUACCGUUCGAAUAGGGCGGUACCUUGACGGUACCUAACCAGAAAGCCACGGCUAACUACGUGCCAGCAGCCGCGGUAAUACGUAGGUGGCAAGCGUUGUCCGGAAUUAUUGGGCGUAAAGGGCUCGCAGGCGGUUUCUUAAGUCUGAUGUGAAAGCCCCCGGCUCAACCGGGGAGGGUCAUUGGAAACUGGGGAACUUGAGUGCAGAAGAGGAGAGUGGAAUUCCACGUGUAGCGGUGAAAUGCGUAGAGAUGUGGAGGAACACCAGUGGCGAAGGCGACUCUCUGGUCUGUAACUGACGCUGAGGAGCGAAAGCGUGGGGAGCGAACAGGAUUAGAUACC